GCCUUCGUGGUGUAAUUGGGACGUAUGUCCGGCUAGUAAUCGGAAGGUUUGGAGUUCGAGUCCCGGCGAGGGCG
rnacentral:tRNA from 1 species